CCCACCAUCCUCAUCUCUCCACCUGUGCACCUCUUGUAGACUUGGAUUGACUUUCCGAGGCAACUCGGNCGGGAGGACUGCUGGCACUAGCUGGCUUUCCUUGCAUUUCCAAGUCUACGUUUUUCAUAUACCCUAUCGUAUGUAAUAGAAUGUAUCAUUGGGCACUUGUGCCUAUAAACCUUAUACAACUUUCAGCAACGGAUCUCUUGGCUCUCGCAUCGAUGAAGAACGCAGCGAAAUGCGAUAAGUAAUGUGAAUUGCAGAAUUCAGUGAAUCAUCGAAUCUUUGAACGCACCUUGCGCUCCUUGGUAUUCCGAGGAGCAUGCCUGUUUGAGUGUCAUUAAAUUCUCAACCUUUAUCAGCUUUUGUUGAUAAUGGCUUGGAUAUGGGGGUUUAUUUUUGCUGGCUUCUUCACGGAUGGUCAGCUCCCCUUAAAUGCAUUAGCCGGUGCCCCGCGUGGACUGUCUAUUGGUGUGAUAAUUAUCUACGCCGUGGACAUCUGCAGUCAUAUGGGUUUGCACUGCUUCUAACCGUCUGUUCAUUCAGACAAUAUAUGACAAUUUGACCUCAAAUCAGGUAGGACUACCCGCUGAACUUAAGCAUAUCAAUAAG
rnacentral:rRNA from 1 species